UGAUCUCUAUCCUAAUCUUAGCUCUAUCUCUAAGGACAUUACAGAACCUUUGCUGAGGUGUGGGGAUGGGGUGCAGGGGAGGCUGAAAACUGUUACUGGGGAAGUCUGGAAACUGCUGCUGACCUUGCCUCAGGCCAGGUAGCAGGCAACUUCUGAGGCCUGGGCUUGCCCAGUUCCCUCAUCUCCUGAACCGUCCAUGUGAAGCCUGUCAUGGAGUCAAUCUAGCCUUCUCAAGAGGUUAGAGAGUAAUCUCCCAAACAACUGGAUUACUCAUAGAAUAUGGACCCUAAAAGUGGAGCUGUCUCAAAUGGGUUGCUGGGAGUUUCCGUUUCUUUUCCUGUUGCUGUGCCCCCCAUCUCCCCCCCAAGCAACUUAAAGGAAAAGGGUUAAUUUCAGCUCAAAGUUGUAGGUUAUAGUCUAUUACAGGGAGACAAUCACAGCAGCAGGGAUUUAAGAAAGCUGGUCGCAAUCAGUCCAUAAUCAGGAAAAGAGAGCAAUGAAUCGUACAUGCUCAGCUUUCUUCAUUUUUACAGUUUGCAAUUAAGAUAGGCAUUCAUCAAUUAAAUCCAAACAAUCCCCAAAGGCAUGCCCAGAGGCGUUUCUAGAUUCUAUCAAGUUGAUAACUCGAACUUAAGGCUGGUGCCUUCUGAAGUCACAUACACUGGAAUUGUCGUUAAGGAUGGUUGUGAGUCAUCCCAUGGGUCCUCAGCCAGAGCAUCAAGUACCCUUUACUGCAGAGCCCCCUCUCCAGCUCUGUUCAUGAAACUGCUGUUUAGGCUUUCCCAAGGUUAUAGCCAAAUAGCACACACAGUUCCUUCCCCAAGCAGGUCUGUCAAAACACAGGCCUUAACUGAAUGAAAAAAAGAAAAGGGAAAAGAACAUGACUGGUCCUAGGUAUGGUGAGUAAGAAAGGUUAUUGUAGAUAAAAGGGAGACAUAGCCAGAGACAGGGGCAUCUGGAAGAGUCCAGGGUGGACAUGACCAGACUUGAGUUGGUCUGUGUGGGGAGAGGAGAGGAGAGAGGAGAGGUGAACCAGAUGCAGCAGCCUGGAAGCCCAGAAAAGAGUAGAGAAAAGAGCCAUGUAACCAAAACAGUCAGAUUACAUAGGGAAGGGCAGCCCAGCCGCCAGGACGGAGAAGUUUAAGGUAGGAGUCUGGUUAUGCUGGCUGGCCAGGAGAGCUCUGUAACAGGUAGGGACUUAGGGAUGCUGGGUAACAUUACCUAACAAUGGCUCCCAGCACUGCCAUCAUAAAAUUAUUUUUGUUGCUACUUCAUAGCUGUAAUUUUGCUACCAUCACAAAUUGUAGUGUAAAUAUCUGUUUCCCAAUAGGUUUAGGCAACCCCUAUAAAAGGAUCCUUUGACCAUCCCCAAAGGCACUGCAACCCACAAGUUGAAGAACACUGUUCCCAAUGAUGAGUUAGUCUAUAAGAUAUGAAAUAGCCUGUGAUUGAGAAAUGUUUUAUGCUGGGUGUGAUAAUAAAAGAUCACAUGAAAUAACUGAUAUGCUUAUAAAACGUACGAGGUAGAACUGUUUUCAGCUCCUUUAAAACGUUUUUUUUGUUGUUGUUGUUGUUGUUGUUGUUUUAUGGGUAUGUUGUUUCUCUACGUGCAUGCAUCACAGUAAAGACCCGGGUCUUGUGGAAAUUGGAAGAUCACCUAAGAUUCCAUGGGAUUGACGUUACAGACGGUUCUGAGGUACCUCAUGGGCACUGAGAACCGAAGCCAGGUCCUCUGGAAGAGCAGCCAGAACUCUUAACCGCUGAGCCACCGCUCCAGCCGACACACUAUCACCCAGCUCCUUUUAGAUUAGAAAUAAAGGUCAAGGACCUAAACUGGCCAAAAGACUUCUUUUAGAGGGUCUGUCUGAGGAGAUGGCUCAGUGUGUAACAGCACUUGCUGUGGAAGCAAGGAGACCUGAGUCGAAGUCCAAAACAAUCACACAAGAGAAAAGCUAACGUCUACUUACAACUGACAAGGGAGGGGACCAACUUCUCCCUUCUCUGAGGUAAAGAGGGAGAAGAGGAGGAGGCUUUGGCUCCUGAUGGGUCACCAAUGCUGCACGGGCCCAAGAGCUCUCUGGAUUCAAGAAUGAAAGACACAUGUGCUAAUUUUGAUAUGACUCAACUAGCUCAAUGGUUGGGCACUUCUAAAACUCCCGAGGCUACCAAACUCUCCCCUCCAGUAUUCCUGAGUUAACAUUUUAAAAAAUGUAUUCUUCAUCUCUGCUACUCCAGACCCAAUAGGGGAAGUGGGCCCUGGAUUGACUUUCCCAGGUUCUUACAUUCCAGUGGGCCUUUAAAUUUCAUCUUUCUGGGAGCUGGAGAGAUGGCU
rnacentral:sRNA from 1 species